ACCUUGGUCCUGAUUCACUGCAAGUGUUAAGCAUUUUAAAAAAUGUAAUAGUUAAUAUAAGGAAAAUAUGACACAGACUUCUAAGUUAUGAAGCAUAAUGAAGUGACUCAGUCAUCCAACUUCAGAGUAGAACGCCACCAAUGCCACGCAGUUCCAGGGAACUUCCCUCUGCCAAGAGACAAGCACAAAGGGGGAAUGCCAAGUGAAGAUGAAAGCAGAUUCGGGUGACACAUCUACCAGCCAAGGAAUUCAAAGAUGGCCAGCAAACUACCAGAAGCGAGGAGAGAGACAUUACUCUCCCUCACGGCCCUCAGAAAGAACCAACCCUUUCCACACAUUCAUCUUGGCUCUCUAGCCUCUAGAACCGUGAGACAAUACAGUUCUGUUGUUUAAGCCUUGUGGCACUAAUACAUUUCUCAGAAAUGUGACAUGAUAAAAGGUUAAGGAAAUUUUUCACA